rnacentral:lncRNA from 1 species
AAAAAUGCAUUUUAAUCCUCCGAAACCUUCUAAUAUCGGUCCAGUCCCUUAUCACGCGUGUAAUAUGCGCGUACACCCCUCCACGACCGAUCUCUCGUGAUUCGGUACAUAAAAUAUUAAGACUUUCGCAAAAUUAUCGGUUUUGCCAAUUCGACCCCUCAGCGAACAUUUCGCGUUUUCUGAAGAUCCGUCCGUCGGAUUUUCGAUCCGACCGAGCCAUCGCGUUCAGCACGACGG